rnacentral:lncRNA from 1 species
UAUUGGUCUCUUCUUUACAGCAAUUCAGUCAUACCAAUAACUGCUAUUUCUACCAAUAUAUUCACCCUCAUAAUCUCCAACUGUAAUACUACGCCCUCACAACUUUCAGCACACAAUUACCCUCAUUUCAAUCACUGCAAUUCUUCACAUAGAACUGCCAUUCACAUUAUGGUGUUUCACACAAACACAGAUUCAUUCUCUUUGCUGAACUACAAUCAGAUUUCAGCAUUCAAUCUUUCUUCUUUUUAAAUAAUACCAAUUACAUUUCCAUUCCAUAAUUCACUUCACAAUAUUUAGAAACUCUCAAUCCUCUUAUUCAAAGAAAAUAACAAACAAAAGAAAAGAGGUAGCACCAAGCUUAUCCCGGCUCACAACUAUCACAGCGAUGGCACCUUAAUUAAC